rnacentral:rRNA from 1 species
UACGGAGGGGGCGAGCGUUAUUCGGAAUUAUUGGGCGUAAAGGGCGCGUAGGCGGUGCGGUAAGUCUGCGGUGAAAUCUCCCGGCUCAACUGGGAGUCUGCCGUGGAAACUGCCGUGCUUGAGUGUGGGAGAGGUGAGUGGAAUUCCCGGUGUAGCGGUGAAAUGCGUAGAGAUCGGGAGGAAGGCCGGUGGCGAAGGCGGCGCUCUGGAACGUUACUGACGCUGAGACACGAAAGCGUGGGGAGCAAACAGG